rnacentral:rRNA from 1 species
CCAGUAGUCAUAUGCUUGUCUCAAAGAUUAAGCCAUGCAUGUCUCAGUACAAGCCAAAUUAAGGUGAAACCGCGAAAGGCUCAUUAAAUCAGUUAUGGUUCCUUAGAUCGUACCCACAUUUACUUGGAUAACUGUGGUAAUUCUAGAGCUAAUACAUGCAAACAGAGCUCCGACCGGAGACGGAAGGAGCGCUUUUAUUAGAUCAAAACCAAUCGGUGGCGGGUCUCCCGUCACCGUACACGUUGGUGACUCUGAAUAACUUAUUGCUGAUCGCACGGUCUCGCACCGGCGACGCAUCUUUCAAAUGUCUGCCUUAUCAACUGUCGAUGGUAGGUUCUGCGCCUACCAUGGUUGUAACGGGUAACGGGGAAUCAGGGUUCGAUUCCGGAGAGGGAGCCUGAGAAACGGCUACCACAUCCAAGGAAGGCAGCAGGCGCGCAAAUUACCCACUCCCGGCACGGGGAGGUAGUGACGAAAAAUAACGAUACGGGACUCAUCCGAGGCCCCGUAAUCGGAAUGAGUACACUCUAAAUCCUUUAACGAGGAUCAAUUGGAGGGCAAGUCUGGUGCCAGCAGCCGCGGUAAUUCCAGCUCCAAUAGCGUAUAUUAAAGUUGUUGCGGUUAAAAAGCUCGUAGUCGAAUUUGUGUCCCGCGCCGCCGGUUCAUCGCUCGCGGUGUCAACUGGCGUGUCCGCGGGACGUCCUGCCGGUGGGCUUAGCCCCCCGUGGGCGGCCCAAUCUCAAUCCCACCGCGGUGCUCUUCAUUGAGUGUCGAGGUGGGCCGGCACGUUUACUUUGAACAAAUUAGAGUGCUUAAAGCAGGCUAAAACAUCGCCUGAAUACUGUGUGCAUGGAAUAAUGGAAUAGGACCUCGGUUCUAUUUUGUUGGUUUUCGGAACCCCGAGGUAAUGAUUAAUAGGAACGGAUGGGGGCAUUCGUA